GACGAACGCUGGCGGCGUGCUUAACACAUGCAAGUCGAACGGAAAGGCCCUGCUUUUGUGGGGUGCUCGAGUGGCGAACGGGUGAGUAACACGUGAGUAACCUGCCCUUGACUUUGGGAUAACUUCAGGAAACUGGGGCUAAUACCGGAUAGGAGCUCCUGCUGCAUGGUGGGGGUUGGAAAGUUUCGGCGGUUGGGGAUGGACUCGCGGCUUAUCAGCUUGUUGGUGGGGUAGUGGCUUACCAAGGCUUUGACGGGUAGCCGGCCUGAGAGGGUGACCGGCCACAUUGGGACUGAGAUACGGCCCAGACUCCUACGGGAGGCAGCAGGGGGGAAUAUUGCACAGUGGGCGGAAGCCUGAUGCAGCGACGCCGCGUGCGGGAUGACGGCCUUCGGGUUGUAAACCGCUUUCGCCUGUGACGAAGCGUGAGUGACGGUAAUGGGUAAAGAAGCACCGGCUAACUACGUG
rnacentral:rRNA from 1 species